GACGAACGCUGGCGGCGUGCUUAACACAUGCAAGUCGAACGGAAAGGCCCUGCUUUUGUGGGGUGCUCGAGUGGCGAACGGGUGAGUAACACGUGAGUAACCUGCCCUUGACUUUGGGAUAACUUCAGGAAACUGGGGCUAAUACCGGAUAGGAGCUCCUGCUGCAUGGUGGGGGUUGGAAAGUUUCGGCGGUUGGGGAUGGACUCGCGGCUUAUCAGCUUGUUGGUGGGGUAGUGGCUUACCAAGGCUUUGACGGGUAGCCGGCCUGAGAGGGUGACCGGCCACGUUGGAACUGAGAUACGGCCCAGACUCGUACGGGAGGCAGCAGUGGGGAAGAUUGCACAAUGGGCGGAAGCCUGAUGCAGCAACGCCGCGUGCGGGAUGACGGCCUUCGGGUUGUAAACCGCUUUCGCCUGUGACGAGGCGUGAGUGACGGUAAUGGGUAAAGAAGCACCGGCUAACUACGUG
rnacentral:rRNA from 1 species